ACUGGCUAUGAUGAAUGUUAUACCGCCCCAGUCUGAUGUUAGGUGACUGAGUGGUACAUUCUGAGCAUC